UGGGGAAUUUGGACAAUGGGCGAAAGCUUGAUCCAGCAAUGCCGCGUGUGUGAAGAAGGCCUUCGGGUUGUAAAGCACUUUUGUCCGGAAAGAAAUCCUUGGCUCUAAUACAGUCGGGGGAUGACGGUACCGGAAGAAUAAGCACCGGCUAACUACGUGCCAGCAGCCGCGGUAAUACGUAGGGUGCAAGCGUUAAUCGGAAUUACUGGGCGUAAAGCGUGCGCAGGCGGUUUGCUAAGACCGAUGUGAAAUCCCCGGGCUCAACCUGGGAACUGCAUUGGUGACUGGCAGGCUAGAGUAUGGCAGAGGGGGGUAGAAUUCCACGUGUAGCAGUGAAAUGCGUAGAGAUGUGGAGGAAUACCGAUGGCGAAGGCAGCCCCCUGGGCCAAUACUGACGCUCAUGCACGAAAAGCGUGGGGAGCAAAACAGGAUUAGAUACCCUGGUAGUCCACGCCCUAAACGAUGUCAACUAGUUGUUGGGGAUUCAUUUCCUUAGUAACGUAGCUAACGCGUGAAGUUGACCGCCUGGGGAGUACGGUCGCAAGAUUAAAACUUAAAGGAAUUGACGGGGUCAUAGCUGUUUCCU
rnacentral:rRNA from 1 species